GGCCGACUAGCUCAGCUGGUUAGAGCGUCGUGCUAAUAACGCGAAGGUCUUGGGUUCGAUCCCCAGGUUGGCCA
rnacentral:tRNA from 1 species